rnacentral:rRNA from 1 species
CCCUUAGACGUUCUGGGCCGCACGCGCGCUACACUGACACAGGCAACGAGCUUUCCUUUACCGAAAGGUAUGGGUAAUCUUUUGAAACUGUUUCGUGCUGGGGAUAGAUCCUUGCAAUUUUUGAUCUUAAACGAGGAAUUCCUAGUAAGCGCGAGUCAUCAACUCGCGUUGAUUACGUCCCUGCCCUUUGUACACACCGCCCGUCGCUACUACCGAUUGAAUGGCUUAGUGAGGCCUCAGGAUCCGCGCUUAAUGUGUGGAGAAUUUGGACAAACUACGUCAUUUAGAGGAAGUAAAAGUCGUAACA